UUUUGCUUUCGCUAUCUGUCCUGUUGCGCGUGCGCCAAAAGUGAAAAGUGUAUCAAAGUAGAAUUAAUAAAUUAUUCGUGUAUUUCGGUGUGUGUGUGA